GUCGGAGGGCAAGGAGAUCGAUUUCAGGUGUCCACAGGACGAGGGCUGGAACGCCGAGAUAACUUUGCAGAUGGUGCAAUACAAAAACAGGCAGGCCAUCCUGGCGGUGAAGUCUACCAGACAGAAACAGCAGCUCCUCGUUGUUCAGCUCCCGGGACAGAAAAUGAUUCGGAGCUCUCCAAACGUUGCGUGACCUGCGCCUCGGGCAUUCGACGUGCGGUUAAUUGGACAUUCAGAGGAGGGAUCGAUGGACUCCGGCUGCAUCUGCACGGCCUCACAAAAGGAGCGUCACACCCCGCAGAAAACAUCUCUUAAUUUAACUGUUGUUCGGUCUGGACAACAGCAGCAGUCUUUUCCCAGUCCUAUUUUUCAUUAGAGACUCUUUAUUUGAGAAAGAUGGACACUGAUGGACAAAGCUUAGGCCUCUGCUACAGCACGAGUGAAAACAGCGGUAUUCUAACGGGCGAUUCUCUGCCACCCCUUCUUAUUUAUUACAUUGUGUAUAUAUGUUUUUAUCUUAACAGUGUCAUUGACUAAUGUACAGUGUGGUUGUUGCUGGAGUUGAAACUGAAAGCUAUGCUUGGAGAUUCCUAAGCCUCAGUAUCGUUGUGAUCCUGGUGGGAUGGUUGAUUGUGUUACACCUUUAAGGAUCUACUAGUCCUUUCACUUCUAUUAUUUAUAGAGUUGUGAGUAGCACAUCCUAUUGUACAAACAUGCCAUGAUACACAUCCUCAUUCUUUUAUUGAACCAAAGACUCAUACGGUAUAGUUGCAUUUUCCUCCCAAGUGUAGUUGACUGUAAAAAUGGCAGGAUGCUUCAAUGAUGAAGGAAAUGUUGACAAAUCUUUUAUUUGUUUGAUUUCUCCAUAAAUCUCACUUUUUGUGAUUAUCCUCGUGCCAGA